rnacentral:rRNA from 1 species
UACGAGGGGGGCGAGCGUUGUUCGGAAUUAUUGGGCGUAAAGGGUGCGUAGGCGGUUCCGCAAGUCCUGUGUGAAAUCUUCGGGCUCAACUCGAAGUCUGCACGGGAAACUGCGGGGCUUGAGUGUGGGAGAGGUGAGGUGGAAUUCCCGGGUGUAGCGGUGAAAUGCGUAGAUAUCGGGAGGAACACCUGUGGCGAAAGCGGCUCACUGGAC